UCCCGGAGCAACGCCCCUUUCUCUGCUGUUGUCCCAUUUUCCAGCGAAAGGCACCUGGAGGAGGUGCCGACCUCAGCCUGGUGAAGGACAGUGGUUCCUCUUGGCUGGGCCACAUGACCCCAUCCUUUCUCCUCUCGGCUGGCUCUUACCAAAAUCAGUCCUUACAAGCGGAUGGCUGCCAAUGCUCCAGCGACAGGACUGUGGGAACCGUUGUCACACUGGCUCUUCUGGGAUCAGGGGUAUGUUAGGUAAACAGUGAUCUCAGUUUGGCUCAUGCAGUUUUACUGACAUCGUGAUGGGAGAUAGCAGGUCACUGUCAAUUUACUUCGUCGCUUUGUUUUGGCUUUCUUUGUCUCAAGGAGCGAACCCUAAGGAAACAGAAAGGUUUCCUUUUUUUCUUUUUUUUUUUCUGCUAAUUUUUGUCAACAUAAAAGCAAUACCCGCUCAUUAAAGAAAUGGAAAAGAAGAGAAACUCGUUAGGAAGUGACUGCUAAUCGCCACCACUCACACACAAACACUGCAUCUAUCUCCCUUGAUUUUUGAAACGUGUUUGCGAAGUCUUUGUACAUUAUUUUCGUGGGUUUUGAAUAGCUGGAAAUGAGGACUUUCUCCGUCUGUUCUGGAAAUGCGACAUUCUUCCAUGGUUACUUAAGCCUGAACUAUUUCAGCCGAGUUAAACUUUGACCAACCCAGGUGACUAGUUUAUAGGCCUUGAAACCUAGUGGAAGACUUUGUGUCAGCAGAGACCACACACCCCGAAUUCCUGGACUGGGUCUGGUGUUUUCCUUCCCCCAGUAUUUCAGACGCAUUCUUCUCAUUUGAAAGCCGUGUGUCUUACUCAACCACCUCUCUAUCUAAACUAUGUUAAAGACACAUAGAAAAGAGAUGACAUCACGGGGCCGCUUCUGUUCUUGCAGCCCCGUCUGUGUUCAGCUAAAGUGGAGCGGCCCUAGUGAGUCAUGCCGUCUUGUGACCAGCCGGGCACUUUUCCAAUCCAAGCGACUGUUAAGAUCUCUGACAGCAGAACCUGUCCUUGUUUGAAGAGCAGAUACCAACGGUGAGCUGUGCGCUUGGUGAUCCAGGCUCCUGUGAGUCACCGCAUGCGUUCCCAUCCCACAACAAAACGCCAGCCGUGAGGUAGCACUUAGUAAAGCUGACUCACUUCCUCAUUUGCAGAUGAAAGGGAUUGUCCCAGAAAUGACAGUCUCACAGAGCCAGCUUGUUUGCCCGGAGGAAAGAAUUCACUGAACAGCCACAGACUGCAUUCCAGAACGUUAGCCAACCACUUUGCAAAAGUGUCCCGUUGGGUCAGGGCACGGCCUGCCGCCACUCCUGGCAAAGAGACUCCAAAUGCCUGCCCGUGGGACAGAGGUCUCAUUGCAGGAUGUCAGUUCAGGCACUCAUGGGAAGACGUCACUGGAGCACAAGGCGAUGACGGUGUUGCUAAGAUGUCUGAGAGAAAAUGGCAAAGCAGAGCCUAGAGAGGUUGGUGCAGGCUCCCCGGGUCCCUCGGAAGUGGGGCUGGGCCUCAGAGGAUGUGCGUGAGCUGCCGGCCGAGGUGUGUGUCCCCCCUGGCUUAUCCGCCGAAGGGGCUGAACGGAGGGGGAGCGAGGGCCUCGUCCUGGUGCCUGGAAGCCCAGCGCGGCCAGACUUGGGGAUGGAGCCUCCAAGGAGGUGGCGGAGGUUGAAUGAGGUCAUGGGAGGGAUCCCGCAUCUGAUAGGGUUGAGGCCUCACAAGGAGAGAACCCCAUUCUCUCUCUGCUGUCUCCAUCUCUCUUCCUCAUGAGGACACAGUGAGAAGCCAGCCGUCCACAGACCAGGAAAGACCUCUCACCGGAACUUGCCCGUGCCAGCUCCCUGAUCUUGAUGCCCAGCCUCCAGAACUAUGAGAAAUAAAAUCCUGCUGUUUGGGAGUUCCCGUUGUGGCUCAGGGGUCAUGAACCCAACUAGUAUCCAUGAGGAAGCAGGUUCCAUCCCUGGCCUUGCUUGGUGGGUUAAGGAUCCAGUGUGGCCGUGAGCUGCAGUGCAAGGUGCGAACGCGGCUUGGAGCUCGUGUUACUGUGGCUGCGGUGUGGGCUGGCAGCUGCAGCUCUGAUUCAACCCCUAACCUGGGAACUUCCACAUGCCGGGGGUGGCACCCUAAAAAGCAAAAUCAAAUCAAAUCAAAUCAAAUCAAAAUAAAGUCCUGCUGUUCAAGCUGC